CGAGCGUCAUUACACCUCUCAAGCCUUGCUUGGUCUUGGGCCCCGCCCUCAGGGGGCGAGCUCAAAAGUCAGUGGCGGUGCGUCGGGCUUCAAGCGUAGUACAACCUAUCCCGCUUUGGAAGACCCGGGGGUUCUGGCCAGUCAACACCCGACACAUCACGGUUGACCUCGGAUCAGGUAGGGAUACCCGCUGAACUUAA
rnacentral:misc_RNA from 1 species